rnacentral:rRNA from 1 species
CCUAACACAUGCAAGUCGAGCGGCAGCGGGAAAGUAGCUUGCUACUUUUGCCGGCGAGCGGCGGACGGGUGAGUAAUGCCUGGGGAUCUGCCCAGUCGAGGGGGAUAACAGUUGGAAACGACUGCUAAUACCGCAUACGCCCUACGGGGGAAAGGAGGGGACCUUCGGGCCUUUCGCGAUUGGAUGAACCCAGGUGGGAUUAGCUAGUUGGUGAGGUAAUGGCUCACCAAGGCGACGAUCCCUAGCUGGUCUGAGAGGAUGAUCAGCCACACUGGAACUGAGACACGGUCCAGACUCCUACGGGAGGCAGCAGUGGGGAAUAUUGCACAAUGGGGGAAACCCUGAUGCAGCCAUGCCGCGUGUGUGAAGAAGGCCUUCGGGUUGUAAAGCACUUUCAGCGAGGAGGAAAGGUUGGCAGCUAAUAUCUGUCAGCUGUGACGUUACUCGCAGAAGAAGCACCGGCUAACUCCGUGCCAGCA